GGAAUUACCGUUUUCUGAUCCACGAAGAGCACAGUGGCAUAAGGUAAAUGAAGCAGACGUCAAAGGCAGAUGUACUGGCACAAGAUAAAAAUGAUGAUACAGCAGAUGUUGAAGAAACUGAUAUCAGAGGCUGGAAGAAGGAAACCCAUGCUUUGCAGUGGGAAAAUAAUUGUCUCUCUAAAAAAUCCAUGGAAAAAAUACCCUCAGGU